rnacentral:lncRNA from 1 species
AGCAAUUUAUGAAGCAGUCAUAAUUUUCAACCUACAGACAAAGAAAUAAAAGUGUUGACACCCGUAUUGUAACAUCUGUGAAGGGAAAAAUACGAGCCCGUUGCUAAAUUCAAGAAUUAUGGAGGGUUUCUUUUUCAGUUAAUUUUGUUCAUUAUCAGACGUGAUUAUUUUUAAUAGGGAAAAAAGAAUCCUCAUGUUUAUGUAUCAGUGCUGAAAAGCUACUUUCUGGAUCGUAGUUUUCUCAGCGCUGCUCAGAAGCAAUAAUUUACGACGCGAGUGACUUUUCUGAUAUUCUGAGCGUUUUUAUUUCCAGAUGAUUAUUUUAACAUAUGCUCAUCUUUGAAUAUGUCAAAAACUCUUCCCAUGCGUGCAACACAGAGAAAACCUGCACCCCUGAAAGCAGCACAUCUUUCACAAUAAGAGAAUUCUGAAUACUUGCAGGCAAACACCGGACACCAGGCAGUCCCUCCCACAGCACCAAAGACUAUUUGACACUGCUGCAAAGGAGGACAUUGAAAUGUGCACUCAUCAAUGAUGACUUUUAAAGGAAACAAUAACAACACCUUUCUGACCUCAAAUUUUCUAUUGGAGGAUGAAAGCCCCACUGAAAAUUCUUGCUGAAGAGGCCAGAGCUUCUGGACCUGGAGCCUGAGGGACAUCCUGGGGGCUCCCACUGAAGGCAUCUCCCAUCAAAAGGGCCAUAGAGAUGGCAUGGGCAGGGUGAAGCAUAUCCCCACCCAAUCUCUUGGGUUACCUCAUGGUAAACACUCUCACCCCUUUCCUUCCCCUCUAGCCAGCACUGGCCUGCACAGUGGGCAUUUGCAUGCUUCUUAGCCAUUUUUAAUUAGAUCCUGAAAAUUCUUAUAUUAUGUUGUACCUUUCCACCCUGGGCCCUCACUGACUAUGGCCACUUGUGACAUUCUUAGCCACUUGCUUUCAUUCUUAGCACAGACAUGAAAACAGAUUUCUGUGUUCUUUGGACAAGUUAUUAGGCUUACAAUUAGUAAAGAGAACAAUGUCAGGCUCUGUGUAAAAGUUACAAGUGUGAAAUCGAGUUCUGCCAGUAAAUUGCUACCUUUUCUUUAGCAUUGCAAGCCACGCUCUCCAGUUUAUUUGAACACAUAAAAUAUGCUAAAUGUUUAGCAGCACCACUGUGUAAAGAAGAGUUGGAUGAAGUAUAUAUUUUUAAAUACAGUGAGUAAUAAAAUGUUGAGUAAAUUCCCAAGAAUAUCAUUUUGGGGCAAGUACAAUAGAAUGCUUAAUGGCAUAUAUUCCCAGGUUUGCUGUUUUUAUUCCUCCUUUUCUCCCGCUUUAAUCUCCUCACCCAGACAGUGGUUGUUGUUAUGGGAGCUGCUAGAAAGGGCUUCAUCCAUAGACACUUCCAGCACCGAGAGAAUGAGACGAGGAGCACCAGGCAUUUGCAGUCAGUGCCUCAUGUUUCAGCAGUGCACUGGGCACUGCCCUGUGCCCACCCCUGGCUGCAGUAGAUGGCAUCGAGCUGCUGGGCAUGCACUUGGGUGGUGGUUCAUAAGGACCACAGGAAACAAGGAAAAUUAUAAAGCGAAUGGGGGGGGGGGAGGGAUAAAGGCAAACAAGCCUCCUUCACAAAUUCAUUUUCUCCAAAUUUAUUUCCUUUUCAUUUAACUCGGUUGAGAAAUGUCCCCCCAGACUUCAUCAGAAAAUCAAUCUCCCCAUUUAAAGUUCUAAACGCAGUUCUAAGCAGCUCUGAUAUGCAAAGCGGCGUGAGAAAUCCAAACCCUCAUCAGACAAUCUGCACGUUGUUUGGAGCCACCGCUGCAGGUGAAGUCAGCAUCACUUCUCUCCAGACCAAACUCUGUGGGCUGAAUUGAGCCGAUGCUGCCCAGUUCCUGUGGCAAUUCCUGUAGCUGGGCUUCGGUAUGCAUAAACUCUCCACAUUUAGGAUAUUACCCUUCACAGAGCAGCUUAAUAUUUCAACAGGCCUUUUUAAUUUCGUAGCGCAAAUCACCUUUUACCCUUUGCCACACAGUUAUGCGCCGGGUAGCGCAGUGCACCCAUAUACCCACUGUUUAGCUGGUUUUAUACUGCUGGUUUGCAACUAACUGUCUGUACUUUGUUUCAAUAUUAAAAACUGUCUGCUGUAUGGUAGCUCUGAGAUCAUGUUCCCAAACCGCUCUCAGUUCCUGCUGCCUUUCUGUGCUAUCUAUCCUGGAAAUGGGAAUCUUUAUUCCAUAGGCUCAUAAGAGGGUAAAUAUACAUUUUCUAAUUCUAGGAGAUAUAUUCAAAAGAAAAACAAACAGCAGAUUCUGAUGUUAUAGUUCUCAUAUUUAGCCUGUAUUUUCUAGAACGUUACUUUUUAGUUGUUUUAAAAGUUGUACUAACUGUAAUCUAGGGAGACGUUACCUUCAUUUUGAAGCAUCAACCAAACACCAUAAUAUAAAUGAUGCAUAUUUGUUAUCUUUAAUUGUAUAUAUAUAAAAUAAAUAAAUAAUAACUGGGUAGUAUGGAGCAGUAUAUUUUCUAUACUGUCUCUGAGUUAUCAGUUGAUACAAGACAGUGCUACCAGUACGAUAGAUGUUCAAACUGCAAAUGUUUGGCACCAGGUAAAAAGUCUGUGGAGGGAUGGAACAACAUUCACUGCAGUUUGCUGGAUCAGCUCACCUUGUAGUAUGUCUGGGAGCUGAAUUUUACCCACAUACACAUGUAUA